rnacentral:rRNA from 1 species
UCCAAGUGAAGCAGAGGACAGUGGCGGACUGGUGAGUAACGCGUGAGGAACCUGCCUUUCAGAGGGGGACAACAGUUGGAAACGACUGCUAAUACCGCAUGACACAUAGAGAUCGCAUGGUUUUAUGUCAAAGAUUUAUCGCUGAUAGAUGGGCUUGCGUCUGAUUAGCUAGUUGGUGGGGUAACGGCCUACCAAGGCGACGAUCAGUAGCCGGACUGAGAGGAAGGUCCCCACAUUGGAACUGAGACACGGUCCAAACUCC